UGGUUCAGUGGUAGAAUUCUCGCCUCC
rnacentral:piRNA from 3 species